AGAGCGGCUGGAGGGCGCGCAGUCGCGCGGUCAGCGCCAGCUGUGGGCGCCAGGCUCAGGAGCCCGCGCUGGCCGGACCAGGGCUGCUCGCAGCACCGCGCUGCCGCACGCUCCCGGGGUAUCCGGACUAGCGCUGGGCCGGGCUCGCCGCGGAGGCUGGGCAGCAUUGCUCACAGGAGCAAACCAAAGGCCUCCGCUUUGGCGAGGCGAGAGGUGUGAGGAAGCGACACCUCCUGGCAGCUAGUGCCCAGCCUGCGCGUGCUGCCUCGUCCGGAGGAAGGGCCAGGCUGGGGCACGGGAGGCACUGUUUGAGCUUCGAUCGGGAAGUCACCCGAGUGUGUUAAUCCUAACCCUUCUGCCUGGCAGGUGGGGCUGGGAAAGGCGCCCGGGACCUGUUCUUCUGCCUUAGAUGACUGGCCCAAGAGGAGCCCACGGCCCGACCCACAGACCGCUCCAGAAGGCUUCUCCUGACACCCGUCCCCGGGUCUGCUUCCCUGAGCCGGGCCUCAGAGGCUCAGGCGACAGCAGCCGCGUCCUCUGCCCCUCCAACAGCCGCUGCACGUUGCGGAGGGAGGCAAAGCUUCGGAGCCCUUGCUGUCCAUUGUAGGUGAGCAAUGUUUGCUGUGGUAGACAUGCUCCGUGUGUGUCCUUUGCUGGUGUCAAGGCAACACAGCUCGUGGAGCUGGAGGAAAUCCUCAUGCACAGCUGCCGACAUGGAGACUGUGAGGUCGAAACCCAAGACCAGGACAGGCUGUAGUGACUUUAAUUCAUCUUAAAAUGUACAUCAAGAAACUGAAAGGAAAUAUGCAACCCAUUAAAUGGGGCUCUGUGCGGUUCAAGCUGACCUGGAAGUUGCAGCAGUCCUCCUGCCUCAGCGUGCCUCCCAAGUGCUGGGAUUACAGGUGUGCAGCACCAGGCCCCCGCUUCCACUUCCAUUUGAACUCACUUAUCCCACUGACCUUGACAAUGUCUUUUAAGGGCCCCUCAGCCAGCUCCCCGGUGAUUCCCACCAGCCUGAUGCUGCUUUUGGCUUCUGCUGUUUGGCAUUUCCUGCUGUCGGAGCAGAAACCUCAGACUUCCCAUUCUCUGGGUCAGCCGCCUCAAGAUGUUUCCACAUUCUUCAAUCACCACCGAAAACGCAAAAGCAACCAGAGUCCCAGGCGGAAUGACCCGGCCUGCAGGCUGCCCUGGAGGUGAGGGCCCACGAGUGUCCCUGAGGACUGCGGCAUGGGCCAGUGGUGGCCCAGCAGCCCCUCAGGCCACCACGAGUCCCCCAGGCUGCGGUGAGACGGCCCGCGGAGAGAGGCUGCGCUGCAACGUGAGCGGUUUUAGCCGGGCAGAUCCACCUUACGCAUCCCGGCGGGAGAGAGGAGUCAGGUACGGGCCCGCUGGGCUGCGGACCGCACACACUGCACAGACUCCACCCUGGCGCGGCAGUGCGCCCGCGCCCUGGACUUCCGCCCUUCCUCGCCGAGGAGAACCCCAGUGCCGGGUUUAACUCGGAGCUUUGCACGCGUGAGGAGUCAGUCGCCGCCGCGCUCCGCCUCCUCCCCUCCGUGCCGGCCUGGCCGCCCGACCCGGUGGGAGCUGCUGCUCCUCACUCCCAGCCGGGCUAGGUGGCCGCUUCCCUCCCUGCUCUCCCCGCACUCCCAGUGCACAUAAGUCUGCCGCGCUCAGACUGCGUCCGUCCGGCGUUUUCUUUGGCACAUCCGGAAGAACAAGCGACCUUCGAUGGUGGUGCUGGGGGUGAGGUGGGAGCCACUCAGCUCUGGCCACAGCAGCCCCGCGUGACGAGCCCGGGAAGCCCUGACUGUCACACCCAGGGCUGGGGCUCGGCCUCCCCGCCUGCGUCUGUGGCCGACUGCACCUGCCUAGCUGGUAGCUCCCCUCUGGAGGCCUUCCCUGCCCCCUGGACUGACGAGCUACCCGCCGCGCGCUCACGGUGAUUCCAGAAGCGUGGGAAAAGCAAAUGGAGAUCUUUUGUUUUCUUAGAUUCUUUUAUUGGUACACUUUAGGUAUACAAUUCAUUUACAUUUCUCAUUGGGUGCUUGCACCUGUACACGACGUAUCUUGGUUCUUAUUUCUUCCCCAUUACCUGUUCGCCCUUCACCCCCUCCACCCUUCCCUAUUUACAUAGACUUUGUUUCCAUUUUUUUUCUUUUCUCAUAAUUUUUCCUUUCCCUUCUUCCCUUUCCCCUUCCCCUCCCACCACCCCUACCCCUUUGGACCUUUUCUUCCUAUUUCAAAA
rnacentral:lncRNA from 1 species